GACGAACGCUUUCUUCUUUCUUAACACAUGCAAGUCGAACGGAAAGGCCCUGCUUUUGUGGGGUGCUCGAGUGGCGAACGGGUGAGUAACACGUGAGUAACCUGCCCUUGACUUUGGGAUAACUUCAGGAAACUGGGGCUAAUACCGGAUAGGAGCUCCUGCUGCAUGGUGGGGGUUGGAAAGUUUCGGCGGUUGGGGAUGGACUCGCGGCUUAUCAGCUUGUUGGUGGGGUAGUGGCUUACCAAGGCUUUGACGGGUAGCCGGCCUGAGAGGGUGACCGGCCACAUUGGGACUGAGAUACGGCCCAGACUCCUACGGGAGGCAGCAGUGGGGAAUAUUGCACAAUGGGCGGAAGCCUGAUGCAGCAACGCCGCGUGCGGGAUGACGGCCUUCGGGUUGUAAACCGCUUUCGCCUGUGACGAAGCGUGAGUGACGGUAAUGGGUAAAGAAGCACAGGCUAACUACGGG
rnacentral:rRNA from 1 species